GGGAAUGUAGCUUAGCGGUAGAGUGCUUGCCUAGCAUGCAUGAAGCCCUGGGUUCAAUUCCUCAGCACCA
rnacentral:tRNA from 1 species